rnacentral:lncRNA from 1 species
CGGAUCCCGCACGCAGUGGCUGCGGUUCCAUCCUCGUCCAGCGGGCCGGCAGAGCGCGGGGGAACCGGGGGCCGGGGCCACUGACGCCCGUCCGCUCGCCGCGGCAGGCCCAUGUCGGAGGGACCUGCUCGGCCCCGCAGGAUGUCCCAGCCGCCCUCCAUCACCCUCCACGUCCCCGAGGGCACCGAGAGCGAUGGCCAGGAGCCGAGUCCGGACAACGAGAGAGCCCUGCACACCUCCUUCCACCAGCUUAUCCUGGAGCAGAGCAGCUUGAUCGAGGCAGGUCUGGAGCUGGAGAUGAAGGAGAGGGACAGAGAGUCCCCGGCCUGCCUGGCUCCCCCAGACGCCUGGCCAGAGCCAGGGCAGGGUGAGCAGUACCCUGGCUACUGCUCCGCCUCCCUGCAGAUCCUGGCCAGCAUGCCCAGCCGCACCAUCGGUAGGUGCCACCUGCCCUCCCGCCUUUCUCCAGGCCCCAGAGCCUCUCAGAGAGCUCUCCCGCCUACCCUGCUCUCCCACAGCCACUCAAACCCUGCCCUGCUCUGGCCUGCAGGACGCAGCCUCG